GGACUGUGGAGCGCUCCAGGCACUGUCGGCAGUUGGCAACCUGCUGGGCCAGCUUCCGUAGCUUCAUCACCUGUCGGAGGAGCAGAAGCUUGAGAGGCACAGAGGGAAGGAACCCUGAGCCAGCAGCUGAUCAUGGUGCUGAACUGAACUGCUGGGUGACCAAGGUGUGAGGGAAUCUGCAUGUUCUCCCCCUCCCUUCUCCCAGGCUCCACACAUCCACUGGACCAUUUGGCAGGCAAAGCAGGGCAGAACAAAUGGAAAACCAAAUGGCAAUCCAUCAGGAAAACAGAAUUUCUCACUCCUCAGCUGGAGCACUUCAAACCAGCCACUAGAGGUUACUCCUUUCUCCACUGCUUCUGCGGAGGGUUUGGGCACUAAUCUGUGCCCUUUGCCUCUACCCAGCUGCCAAUUGUAGCAAAACAACAUCUCGGAGCUUCCAGGUCUUUCUAAGCAUGGGUGGAACUGGACAGCACAGCCUGGAGGAGUCAAGGAAGAGGGUGGGAAGAGCAAGCAGACAGACAGGUGGACCCCAGCACCGUUACAUAAAAUAUGUUCUCUGGAGUGCUUGGGGUAGAAGCAGGAUUCCAAAGCUCCCACUGCUGCCAGGGUGUCCUGGAGCUGUGCUGGUGGCUCUUCUGCCUACACACGUGGUGGAACCUGCUCCCAAACUGCCUGGCAGCAUCUGUAUUUGGGGCUUGGCCAUGGGUACCGUGGUGGGACCCCAGUGCACACCCAAGCUCAGUGAGAACAGCAAUGGGGUCAUGCAGGCUCCCCUGGGCACCCUCAGAACUACGGCCCUACAGCCCUCUUGCUGCUGCAUGUGGAGAGCCCAGAUGAGGCUGAUGUCUCAAACACCAACAGCUGGACAGCUGCAGAGCCAGCUGAGGGUUGUUAGAGCUGGAGAAGGGGCCCCACAGAGGUAGGGCAGCACUGUCCUGGAAAAAACAUCCUUGCUGUGACUCCUGGAGAUAAGCACAACACAGGAGCGAGAUGAAGGAGUGGCAUGGACUGUAGGGGAAUCGAGACCACGAAAGACCCCUGAAGCCUCUGACCCAUUUCCAGAAACGUCUGGAAGAAUGGACUGUGCAUGAGAACUGAUUUGCAGAGAAAGUGAGAACUCCCAGGAAAGGCAAAACUUACCUGUAAAAAGGUCCCCCCCAUAAGCACAGGCAGUGCCCCCAGCACCCUGACCCAUUUGUCAUUCCUUUCAACCAUGAGCACCUAUGAAUCUUGGGUCCCUUCCCCUUUGGGGUGGGAUGCUACACAUAGAAACCACCGGGAAACACCUGGAGCCACUGGAGGAAAGGUCCAAACAGUCCCACAAAAAUGAGGAACCACAGUGAUGAAGAGCCCUGAGGAAGCUGUCUGGAGUGAUCCAAGCCUCUGCACCAACUUGUCACGCUAACCAACACACUGUUCCUCCUCCAGCCAGCACAUGCUUUGUCCUUGGCAGAGCAGCCCUGGGGCAGCAGCAGUGAUGGACACCUGGAUAUAGGCUGGCAUGGAGGGAGGCACCAGGGGACACCUAGAGUUUGUACAAGGAGAUGCAUCAGUGCUGCUCAAAGCAAACCCCUCAUGGCAAGGCAACACAUGCUGCUGCAGCCCCUCUGCUUGAGGCUGGCACGUGGCAGCCUCACCGGCUGCGGGAGUGCUGCUCCUAGGGAGGCAGACCCUGCAGCAGCCACCCCGUGGGCACAGGAGGGCCCUGUGACCAGGGACACACGAGCUGGGACCCCUCACCUU